GGGGAUGACGGGUUUCGACAGGGCAGAGCGAUUAGACGUGGCGAGCCGAGGUGUCCGUCGCCUUCUCGUUAAACAACGGACAAGCCAGUAACUGGCACAACUAGCAGCGCUUACGCUGUUGCCGCUUAAGUAAUUAAGUAGCCGUUCGCCGGCGCCUCACCCCGAUGGGCGCCGGACGGGCGUGAUAAUGUCGGGGUGCUCUGGUACUGCGCCCCGCGGUACCGGCUAAGCUAAGGGGCUGGCGCCUGAAGCACGUUGCCGGCUCGGGCUGAAGGCGCGAGACUUAACGAACCGGAUACGCUCGUAG
rnacentral:tmRNA from 1 species